ACUCUGAGUUCAUAGUAGCUAGCAUGAGGCAAGCAGUUUCAUUAGAAUCAUCGACAUGCUUCUUAUAAGCAUCUCUUUCUGCCUUAGACGCAGAACUAGGAGAUUCCUCUUCAGGAACAGGUUUCUCCAAGACAUACAGUUUUCUAUCAUGUUUGAGGGCAAUCCUCAGAUUUCGGUGUCAAUCCAGAAAAUUUGUCCCAGACAAUUUUUCCUUAUCAAGGAUUGAUCGCAAAAUGUUGUUAGAGGUGUUCG
rnacentral:lncRNA from 1 species